CAAGGAUGAAACUCAAAGGAAUUGACGGGGACCCGCCAAGCCGGGGGAGUAUGUUCUUUAAUUCGAUGCAACGCGAAGAACCUUACCUGGGCUUGACAUCACCGAAAUCACCUUUAUACGGUGAGUGCCUCGAUUUAUCGAGGAAUCGUGUGACAGGUGCUGCAUGGCUGUCGUCAGUUCGUGUCGUGAGAUGUUGGGUUAAGUCCCGCAACGAACGCAACCCCUGUCUUUAGUUACCAGCAUUAAGUUGGGGACUCUAGAGAGACUGCCAAGGUGACAACUUGGAGGAAGGUGGGGACGACGUCAAGUCAUCAUGGUCCUUACGUCCAGGGCUAGGAACGUACUACAAUGGUUGGCACAGAGGGCAGCAACACAGCGAUGUGAAGCAAAUCCUUAAAACCAACCUCAGUUCGGAUUGGAGUCUGCAACUCGACUCCAUGAAGUUGGAAUCGCUAGUAAUCGCGGAUCAGCAAUGCCGCGGUGAAUACGUUCCCGGGUCUUGUACACACCGCCCGUCAAGUCAA
rnacentral:rRNA from 1 species